AAAAGCAAAAAAUGGACAGUGAUGAAGAUGAAAAAGAGGGUGAGGAGGAGAAAGUAGCGAAGAGAAAAGCUGCUGUGCUUUCUGAUAGUGAAGAUGAAGAGAAAGCAUCAGCAAAGAAGAGUCGUGUUGUCUCUGAUGCAGAUGACUCUGACAGUGAUGCUGUAUCAGACAAGUCAGGCAAAAGAGAGAAGACCAUAGCAUCUGACAGUGAGGAAGAAGCUGGGAAAGAAUUGUCUGAUAAGAAAAAUGAAGAGAAGGAUCUGUUUGGGAGUGACAGUGAGUCAGGCAAUGAAGAAGAAAAUCUUAUUGCAGACAUAUUUGGAGAAUCUGGUGAUGAAGAGGAAGAAGAAUUUACAGUAAGUAUAAGAUGGAAAUAUUUCCUCCUUGACUGUGCUUUUUUUGGUGUUUUUAUGGCAGUGAUGCCAUUAUAGAUGAUUCUAAUAAGUAGGAAUAAACAAUUAUGAUGUAUUCAAGAUAAAAAUCUAGAAGAGGGAUUCAGGAAGUAAAAUGAAAGCGUAUAUACAAAGACAUAAAAGGAAGCUAAUGGGCAAAAUUGAAUUAAGGGGGAAGGAACACUUUGAGACAAAGAAA
rnacentral:sRNA from 1 species